AUUGAACGCUGGCGGAAUGCUUUACACAUGCAAGUCGAACGGCAGCACGGGAGCUUGCUCCUGGUGGCGAGUGGCGAACGGGUGAGUAAUAUAUCGGAACGUAUCCAAUAAUGGGGGAUAACUAGUCGAAAGAUUAGCUAAUCCCGCAUACGCCCUGAGGGGGAAAGCUGGGGAUCUUCGGACCUAGCGUUAAUGGAGCGGCCGAUAUCUGAUUAGCUAGUAGGUGAGGUAAAAGCUCACCUAGGCGACGAUCAGUAGCUGGUCUGAGAGGACGACCAGCCACACUGGAACUGAGACACGGUCCAGACUCCUACGGGAGGCAGCAGUGGGGAAUUUUGGACAAUGGGCGCAAGCCUGAUCCAGCCAUUCCGCGUGAGUGAAGAAGGCCUUCGGGUUGUAAUGCUCUUUCGCAAGGGAAGAAAACUUAACCUCUAACAUAGAUUGAGGCUGACGGUACCUUGAUAAGAAGCACCGGCUAACUACGUGCCAGCAGCCGCAGUAA
rnacentral:rRNA from 1 species